AGCACUUUUUAAAACAGGUGCUGACAGAUGUAAGUCCGACGUGCCCGUUUCGACGGCACGGCCUAUAAAACUAAAAGGCUUUGGGAUUAC
rnacentral:ncRNA from 1 species